GAUCACCACUCUCGGUGGG
rnacentral:snRNA from 1 species